GAUGAACGCUAGCGACAGGCUUAACACAUGCAAGUCGAGGGGCAGCGAUAGGUGGCAACACCGAGUCGGCGACCGGCGCACGGGUGAGUAACGCGUAUGCAACCUGCCCAUCAGCGGGGGAUAACCCGUCGAAAAGACGGACUAAUACCCGCAAUAAAACAGGGGUUCCGCAUGGAAAUAUUUGUUAAAAGAUUUAUUGCUGAUGGAUGGGCAUGCGUUCUAUUAGGCAGUUGGCGGGGUAACGCCCACCAAACCGACGAUAGAGUAGGGGUUCUGAG
rnacentral:rRNA from 1 species